rnacentral:lncRNA from 1 species
AUCAUUGGCCGGAAGUAGUAAAUUUUCCGGCGGAAAAUGAGAGAUCACGGCAGCCACCCCAUAAGGGGUGGACUGGUUGUAUUGUGCUUAGUAGUAGUGUCAAGCAUUAUGGGAGCCUCAGGGGAUCCCUACAUUUAUUCUUCACCACCUCCUCCGUAUGAGUAUAAGUCUCCACCGCCACCUUCGCCUUCGCCACCACCUCCUUAUGUGUAUAAAUCCCCACCACCUCCGGUGCAUUCUCCUCCACCACCCCCAAUGCAUUCUCCUCCACCACCGUAUGAGUACAAAUCACCACCACCCCCGGUGCACUCACCACCUCCUCCGUAUGAGUAUAAAUCACCACCACCCCCGGUGCAUUCUCCUCCUCCGCCCUAUGAGUACAAGUCACCACCACCUCCGGUGCACUCACCACCUCCUCCAUAUGAGUACAAAUCACCACCACCUCCGGUGCAUUCUCCACCUCCACCAUAUGAGUAUAAAUCACCACCACCACCUUCACCAUCCCCACCACCACCAUAUGUGUACAAGUCUCCACCACCACCCGUCAAAUCCCCACCUCCACCAUACCACUACUCAUCACCACCACCACCCGUAAAAUCCCCACCUCCACCAUACCACUACUCCUCCCCACCACCACCUGUAAAAUCACCUCCUCCACCUUAUCAUUACUCAUCUCCACCACCACCAGUCAAAUCCCCACCACCACCAUACCACUACUCAUCACCUCCACCACCCGUAAAAUCACCACCUCCACCAUACUACUACAAGUCCCCACCACCUCCAGUUAAAUCCCCACCACCACCAUACUACUACCAUUCUCCUCCUCCCCCAGUGAAGUCACCACCUCCACCAUACCACUACAACUCUCCUCCACCACCCAAGCAUUCUCCACCACCACCUUACUACUACAAGUCUCCACCACCCCCCGUCAAGUCACCACCCCCACCAUACUACUAUCACUCUCCACCACCCCCAAUGAAGUCACCACCCCCACCAUACUACUACAGCUCACCACCACCACCCGUCAAGUCCCCACCACCACCAUACUACUACAGUUCACCACCACCACCGGUGAAAUCCCCGCCACCCCCAUACUACUACACAUCCCCACCACCACCAGUGAAAUCUCCACCACCUCCUUACUAUCCUCACCCUCAUCAUCACUCAUACACCGUGAAGGUAGUAGGAAAGGUUUACUGUUACAGAUGCUACGACUGGAAGUACCCAAUCAAGUCCCAUGCAAAGAUGCACCUAAAAGGUAACUUUUUUUCUAUUUUAUCAAUUAUUUAAUACACAUAAUUACCUCCUAGUUACAUUCUUCAGUCUUAAGUAUAUAUGUUUUUUCAGUUAUAUACACGCUCCUCUUUAAUAAUUUAGCUUUCUUACUGAUCAUUGCUUAUUAUAUUGUCCACGCACAUGCAUGCUAGCUAGCUCAUACUACACUCAUUUUCCUUUUCCUUGCUCUUUCUUAAUGUGGAAAUCCUAAUACCCUAGUGAGCUUAAUUAUUAUCACCAGAUCACUUCUAAAAUGUAAAGUUAAUCAUGCUUUUAUAAUGAACUAAUAUGCUUCAUUUAUUAUUAAUCACUUUGGUUUCUUUUUAUGUGACACUGUGAUUUACAUGCAUUCUAUAUAGUUCCGGCCACCUAGUACACUUUAAUGAGCUUGAUUAAUAUCAGAUCAUCUUCCUAUAAAAAGUUAAAUCAUGAUUUAUGAAUUAAUUAAUAUCCAUAACGACCAUAUGUCAUAACAGCUUUAUGUUGUAAAGCGAAAGAAAAGAAGGGCUGGACACCAUUAUAUAAUAGGACAGAUUCGAUCUGGCUAGCACCCACCCGAUCCACAUUGUUCAAUAAAAGACAUGCAUAUUUUUAUCUAUAAUCCACCAAUGAAAUUCUUGAUUUAUGCACCAAAAUUGGACGUAUAUAAUUUGUUCCCUUAUAUCUUUAUUUAGAUUAUAUCUUUAUAUAGAUUAGUGUAUAGUUUAAUAAUAUUAUUUCAAAUAUAUAUUUAAUAUUUUUCCCACCGGGUGUUACAUCUUUUACAUAUAAGCAUGUUAUAUAAUAAUAUAAUAUAAAGAUUUUUAACUUACUUUAAUUUUGGUAUAUGUCAAGCAUAUGCCAAUGAUGUUGCAUAUUAGAUUAAUUAGUAAAGAGAUAUGUCCUUUCAAAGAAUAAAUUAUAAUUAAAAUUGACAUGCUAGUCUUCUAUAUACUGUUAAGAUGUCUACAUACAGAGAAACUUCAUACCACACAUAGUCCAACGAUUGAUCUCUGAUUUGAAAAUAUAGAACGUGUAUUUAUUCUUAUUUGAAAAACGUGGCAACUAGAUCAGAGUUGGAAGCUAAGAUAAUAUAUAUUAGUACAAACAACUCACAAAGGAUAAGAGGACAAAAUGACUUAUUAUUAAAAAAAACUGAAUUAGGUAAAGACUGUAUUUAUUUAAGAUUUUGUCAAUAAAGUGGUUGUAAUAAUUCAACAUGUGGAAACAGGUGCUGUGGUUGAGGUGACAUGCAAGGCAGGAGACAAAGAUGUGGUGGCUUAUGGUAAGACAAAGAUCAAUGGUAAAUACAGCAUCACGGUUAAAGGAUUUGAGUACGGAAAGUAUGGUGGAGCCAAGGCAUGCAAAGCUAAGCUCCAUAUGGCGCCCAAGGAUUCUAAAUGUAAUAUUGCAACAAAUCUUCAUUGGGGCAUUAAGGGUGCUAAACUCAAAGUGAAAUCUAAGAGCAAAUAUGAAGUUGUUUUGUCUGCUAAGCCAUUUGCAUAUGCUCCCAAGACUCCUUACAAGAAGUGUUACAAGCCUGCACCAACACCAGCUCCGGUGACUCCGGUGACACCGCCUUAUUAUUAUAAGUCUCCACCACCGCCACCCAAGUCUCCCGCACCAACUCCUUAUUAUUACAAAUCUCCACCACCGCCAUCUAAAUCUCCGGCACCAACUCCUUACUACUACAAGUCUCCACCACCACCGCCUAAAUCUCCCACGCCAACACCUUACUACUACAAGUCUCCUCCCCCACCAACAAAAUCUCCGGUUCCAGCUCCUUAUUACUACAAAUCUCCCCCACCACCAACUAAGUCUCCCACUCCGGCUCCUUAUUACUACAAGUCCCCACCACCACCUUCACCAUCACCACCACCUCCAUACUACUACAAAUCACCACCACCACCUGUCAAGUCUCCCACUCCCGCUCCUUAUUACUACAAGUCCCCACCACCGCCGUCACCAUCUCCACCACCUCCAUACUACUACAAAUCACCACCACCACCCGUGAAAUCUCCAACUCCAACUCCUUACUACUACAAGUCUCCACCCCCACCGUCACCAUCUCCUCCCCCACCAUACUACUACAAAUCACCACCACCACCCGUGCAUUCACCUCCACCACCUUACUACUACAAAUCACCACCCCCGCCAGUGCACUCACCUCCACCACCCUACUACUACAAAUCACCACCACCUCCUUCGCCAUCUCCUCCACCACCAUAUUACUACAAGUCCCCACCUCCACCAAGUCCAUCCCCUCCACCUCCAUACCAUUACUCAUCACCUCCACCACCUGUGAAAUCCCCACCACCUCCAUAUCAUUAUUCCUCACCCCCACCACCUGUCAAAUCCCCGCCACCUCCAUAUCAUUAUUCGUCACCCCCACCACCAGUGAAAUCCCCGCCACCUCCAUAUCAUUAUUCGUCACCCCCACCACCAGUGAAAUCCCCGCCACCUCCAUAUCAUUAUUCGUCACCCCCACCACCAGUGAAAUCCCCGCCACCACCAUAUCAUUAUUCAUCACCACCACCCCCCGUCAAAUCCCCACCACCUCCUUACCAUUACUCUUCACCACCACCACCAGUAAAAUCUCCACCACCUCCAUAUCAUUAUUCAUCACCUCCACCACCAGUGAAAUCCCCACCACCUCCAUACCACUAUACGUCACCACCACCUCCAGUAAAAUCACCACCACCCCCAUAUCAUUAUUCAUCACCUCCACCACCCGUGAAGUCCCCACCACCACCAUACCACUAUUCUUCACCACCACCACCAGUAAAAUCCCCACCUCCUCCAUACCAUUACUCAUCACCUCCCCCACCUGUGAAAUCACCACCCCCUCCAUACCACUACUCUUCACCACCACCACCAGUCAAAUCCCCACCUCCUCCAUACCACUACUCUUCACCUCCACCACCGGUGAAAUCUCCACCUCCCCCAUACCACUACUCAUCUCCACCACCGCCAGUGAAAUCACCUCCACCACCGUACCACUACUCAUCUCCACCACCUCCCGUGAAAUCCCCACCUCCACCGUACCACUACUCAUCACCUCCACCACCCGUAAAAUCACCACCUCCUCCAUACCACUACUCAUCACCACCACCGCCAGUGAAGUCACCUCCUCCCCCAUACCACUACUCAUCACCACCACCACCAGAAAAAUCACCACCCCCACCAUACCACUACUCAUCUCCCCCACCCCCAGAGAAAUCUCCGCCCCCACCUUACCAUUACUCAUCCCCUCCACCACCCGUAAAAUCCCCACCUCCCCCAUACCACUACUCAUCCCCACCACCACCCGUGAAGUCUCCACCUCCCCCGUAUCACUAUUCCUCACCCCCACCGCCAGUGAAAUCACCUCCUCCCCCAUACGUCUAUUCAUCACCACCCCCACCUGUUGCAUCACCACCCCCACCAGUUUACAUUUAUGCUUCACCACCACCACCCACUCACUAUUAAGGUCCGACCGCUCAGCUAGUUCCAUCCAACAUUCAAGUAAGUUAACUCUUUUACUACAUGAACUACUAUUAGCUUGUUAUUCUCAUAAUAUUUCAAAUCUCACUAACAUGUUCAUAUUCAUAUACUAAUCCCUUCUUCUGUUAAUUUACAGCUGCCAGCUUAAAACAGCAUAGAAUACAACAAAAUAAAAUCCCAGAACCAGAUCAUCAAGUUAAUAAGGUCGUCAACCGUGCAUUACAAAGCUUUAACCUUUUUGACACGGACCAAUUUGCAUUUACAUCAUUAGUGACACUCUUACAUUUGGGAGUUGUUUCAACUACAAAGGGUAUUUUCUAUAGAGGUUUUCCUUAUCUGGUUAAGUGAAAUUAGUAAGUGAGAUGCCUGGCAGAAGUUUGUAUGGUGUGGAACAAGGCUUUCCUGUGUAUUCUUUGUUCAUUUCAAGAGUGUUUAUUUCAUGUAAUUUAUCUGUAACAAUAUUAAUCUUUCAUUUACUUCAAAUUUAGUAAUUGCUGUGCUUUCUUUAUUGGGUUAAUUAUCUAGUUGGUCACUGAAAUGGGUUUAAUGUAUCAAGUUGGUCA